GACGAACGCUGGCGGCGUGCUUAACACAUGCAAGUCGAACGGAAAGGCCCUGCUUUUGUGGGGUGCUCGAGUGGCGAACGGGUGAGUAACACGUGAGUAACCUGCCCUUGACUUUGGGAUAACUUCAGGAAACUGGGGCUAAUACCGGAUAGGAGCUCCUGCUGCAUGGUGGGGGUUGGAAAGUUUCGGCGGUUGGGGAUGGACUCGCGGCUUAUCAGCUUGUUGGUGGGGUAGUGGCUUACCAAGGCUUUGACGGGUAGCCGGCCUGAGAGGGUGACCGGCAACAUUGGGACUGAGAUACGGCCCAGAAUCCUACGGGAGGCAGCAGGGGGGAAUAUUGCACAAUGGGCGGAAGCCUGAUGCAGCAACGCCGCGUGCGGGAUGACGGCCUUCGGGGUGUAAACCGCUUUCGCCUGUGACGAAGCGUGAGUGACGGUAAUGGGUAAAGAAGCACCGGCUAACUACGUG
rnacentral:rRNA from 1 species